rnacentral:rRNA from 1 species
GAACCGUGCGAACGUUGUUCGGAAUCACUGGGCUUAAAGGGCGCGUAGGCGGCUUACAAAGUCAGGGGUGAAAUCUUGCGGCUUAACCGUAAUCAGCCUCUGAUACUGGUAGGCUCGAGGGAGGUAGGGGUAUGUGGAACUUCUGGUGGAGCGGUGAAAUGCGUUGAUAUCAGAAGGAACGCCGGUGGCGAAAGCGACGUACUGGACCUCUUCUGACGCUGAGGCGCGAAAGCUAGGGGAGCAAACGGGAUUAGAUACCCCGGUAGUCCUAGCCCUAAACGAUGGGUACUAGAUUGUAGACUUGACAUGGGUUUACAGUCGAAGCAAAAGUGUUAAGUACCCCGCCUGGGGAGUAUGGUCGCAAGGCUG